UGGGGAAUCUUGGACAAUGGGGGCAACCCUGAUCCAGCCAUGCCGCGUGAGUGAUGAAGGCCUUAGGGUCGUAAAGCUCUUUCGCCUGUGAAGAUAAUGACGGUAGCAGGUAAAGAAACCCCGGCUAACUCCGUGCCAGCAGCCGCGGUAAUACGGAGGGGGUUAGCGUUGUUCGGAAUUACUGGGCGUAAAGCGCACGUAGGCGGACCAGAAAGUUGGGGGAUGAAAUCCCGGGGGCUCAACCCCGGAACUGCCUCCAAAACUAUUGGUCUAGAGUUCGAGAGAGGUGAGUGGAAUUCCAAGUGUAGAGGUGAAAUUCGUAGAUAUUUGGAGGAACACCAGUGGCGAAGGCGGCUCACUGGCUCGAUACUGACGCUGAGGUGCGAAAGUGUGGGGAGCAAACAGGAUUAGAUACCCUGGUAGUCCACACCGUAAAACGAUGAAUGCCAGUCGUCGGGUAGCAUGCUAUUCGGUGACACACCUAACGGAUUAAGCAUUCCGCCU
rnacentral:rRNA from 1 species